rnacentral:rRNA from 1 species
CACGUAGGGCGCAAGCGUUGUCCGGAAUUAUUGGGCGUAAAGAGCUCGUAGGCGGUCCGUCACGUCCGCUGUGAAAACCCAGGGCUCAACCCUGGGCUUGCAGUGGAUACGGGCAGACUAGAGGUAGGUAGGGGAGAAUGGAAUUCCCGGUGUAGCAGGUGAAAUGCGCAGAUAUCAGGAAGAACACCCGUGGCGAAGGCGGCUCUCUGGGACGGUACUGACGCUGAGACGCGAAAGCGUGGGGAGCGAACAGG